rnacentral:rRNA from 1 species
GACGAACGCUGGCGGCGUGCUUAACACAUGCAAGUCGAACGGAAAGGCCCUGCUUUUGUGGGGUGCUCGAGUGGCGAACGGGUGAGUAACACGUGAGUAACCUGCCCUUGACUGUGGGAUAACUUCAGGAAACUGGGGCUAAUACACGAUAUGAGCUCCUGCUGCAUGGUGGGGGUUGGAAAGUUUCGGCGGUUGGGGAUGGUCUCGCGGCUUAUCAGCUUGUUUGUGGGGUAGUGGCUUAACAAGGCUUUGACGGGUAGCCGGCCUGAGAGGGUGACCGGCCACAUUGGGACUGAGAGAGGGCCCAGACUCGUACGGGAGGCAGCAGUGGGGAAUAUUGCAGAAUGGGCGGAAGUCUGAUGCAGCAACGCCGCGUGCGGGAUGCCGGCCUUCGGGUUGUAAACCGAUUUCGCCUGUGACGAAGAGUGAGUGACGGUAAUGAGUAAAGAAGCAACGGCUAACUACGUG